GCCGCGCCUAGGGUGACGACCUGAAACUCCAGCCCCCUUGUUGGAGUGGCGUGGCAACCACAUCCAAGGG
rnacentral:sRNA from 1 species